CAUUGUGAUCAAGGUUCUCCUUCUCAGGUUGCUAUAGGACAGAGACCCAGAAUGAAUGCACUAGAGAUGGUUUAGAAUCAUCCAUGGUCACCAGAUCUGUGGUUGCCUCUGUAUAAUACGAGGAUGGAGAUUAAUGACAGAUGUUCCCCCUACUUCAGCUUCUGCUGUGCUCAGUUGUCCUGCUGCUUCUGUGUCAGAAAGUAACUAAGAAUGAAUGCAUCAUUUAGCAUCUUCCAUGAACAUGAGCUCUGUGGUUGCUUCUGUAUAAUAGGAGGAUGAAGAUUAAUAGUGGACACACUGGACCUGAAAGAUUCUUCCUUGAGCACCAGCCUAGGAUGGCAUCUUUGUUUUAGGAGCCAAGAGACCAGUAAUAGUAGCUCAAGGUGAUUUCAGCCUCCAUUGUGAUCAAGGCUCUCCUUUUCGGGUUGCUAUGGGACAGAGACCCAGAUUCACAGGAACCAAUAAUGGAUGCCCUUGAGCUGAUCUAAGCAUCUUGCAUGCUCAGGAGCCCUAUGGUUGCAUCUGUGUUAGGAGGAUGGAGAACAAUAAUGGGAGCACUUAAGCUGGUUGAAGGAUUCUUCUGUGGUCCUGAGAGCUCUGGUUGCAUUCACGUGUUAGGACUGUGGAGACCACAAGCAAUACAGUGGACCUGAUUUAAGGACCUUUCCUUGAUUGACAGCCUUAGGAUAGGAUCUGUGUUUUAGGAUCCCAGAGAUCUAUGUGAGUAAUAAGCAAAUUCUUUCCUUGGUUUGGAUGUUUUGUUAAGG